rnacentral:rRNA from 1 species
UACGUAGGGUGCGAGCGUUGUCCGGAAUUACUGGGCGUAAAGAGCUUGUAGGUGGUUUGUCGCGUUGUUCGUGAAAUCUCACGGCUUAACUGUGAGCGUGCGGGCGAUACGGGCAGACUAGAGUACUGCAGGGGAGACUGGAAUUCCUGGUGUAGCGGUGGAAUGCGCAGAUAUCAGGAGGAACACCGGUGGCGAAGGCGGGUCUCUGGGCCGAUACUGACGCUGAGGAGCGAAAGCCAGGGGAGCAAACGGG